CCUACGGGGGGCAGCAGUGGGGGAUAUUGCACAAUGGGGGAAACCCUGAUGCAGCGACGCCGCGUGGGCGAAGAAGUAUUUCGGUAUGUAAAGCCCUAUCAGCAGGGAGGAAGAAGUGAAGGUACCUGACUAAGAAGCACCGGCUAAAUCCGUGCCAGUAGCCGCGGUAAUACGGAGGGUGCAAGCGUUAUCCGGAGUUACUGGGUGUAAAGGGAGCGCAGGCGGCAGGGCAAGCCUGAGGUGAAAGCCCGCGGCCCAACCGCGGGAUUGCAUUGGGAACUACCGGGCUGGAGUGUCGGAGAGGUAGGCGGAAUGCCUGGUGUAGCGGUGAAAUGCGUAGAUAUUAGGAGGAACACCAGUGGCGAAGGCGGCCUACUGGACGAUGACUGACGCUGAGGCACGAAAGCGUGGGGAGCAAACAGGAUUAGAUACCCGUGUAGUC
rnacentral:rRNA from 1 species